rnacentral:rRNA from 1 species
AGAGUUUGAUCCUGGCUCAGAAUCAACGCUGGCGGCGUGCCUAACACAUGCAAGUUGAGCGCUUGAGGGGGGCACCCCCAAGCAGAGCAGCGAACGGGUGAGUAACGCGUGGGUGAUCUUCCUUCGAGUGGGGAACAACAUCGGGAAACUGGUGCUAAUUCCGCAUAAUAUCCCGGGGCUACGAGCCUCAGGAUCAAAGCCGGGGACCGCAAGGCCUGGCGCUUGAAGAUGAGCCCGCGUCCGAUUAGCUAGUUGGCGGGGUAAUGGCCCACCAAGGCUUCGAUCGGUAGCCGGCCUGAGAGGGCGGACGGCCACACUGGAACUGAGACACGGUCCAGGCUCCUACGGGAGGCAGCAGUGGGGAAUUUUUCGCAAUGGGCGCAAGCCUGACGAAGCAACGCCGCGUGGAGGAUGAAGGUCUUCGGAUUGUAAACUCCUGUCGACCGGGACGAAUGCACUCGACCUAAUACGUCGGAAUGUUGACGGUACCGGUGGAGGAAGCCACGGCUAACUCUGUGCCAGCAGCCGCGGUAAUACAGAGGUGGCAAGCGUUGUUCGGAAUUACUGGGCGUAAAGGGCGCGUAGGCGGCCUUAUAAGUCUCGUGUGAAAGCCCUCGGCUUAACUGAGGAUCUGCACGGGAUACUGUAAGGCUCGAGUUCGGGAGAGGAAAGCGGAAUUCCGGGUGUAGCGGUGAAAUGCGUAGAUAUCCGGAGGAACACCAGUGGCGAAGGCGGCUUUCUGGACCGACACUGACGCUGAGGCGCGAAAGCUAGGGGAGCAAACGGGAUUAGAUACCCCGGUAGUCCUAGCUGUAAACGAUGAUCGCUGGGUGUGGGGGGUUUUUACUCCCUCCGUGCCGAAGCUAACGCAUUAAGCGAUCCGCCUGGGGAGUACGGUCGCAAGGCUGAAACCCAAAGGAAUUGACGG